CAGAUUGGGCCUUGGAUAACUGCCCAGGUGGUCAGGCUUUUAUCAGCUUCAUCCUUCACCCACCAUGAAAGGACACUUCCUGUUUGCCUCCUGUCAUUCCCCAAGUCAAGGAUCCCUCCUGCAAAUGACCUGGCUCCCUCCAGGAGCAUGGCCCAGGCCCCUGUGCUGGGCCUUAUGGCCAUAAAGGAUUUCUGGGUCAGGAAGGGAGACUGCGGCCAGCUUCUCCUGCAACAGUGCAACUUGGGCACAGUGGCAGCAGCUCCACGUUGGGUCGCUGGAGACCCACACAAAAUGGCUGAUGGAUAAUGACAGCAGGGAACGUGGAACACGGAACACUUCAGAUUUUCAACGAUGCUGGAUUUGAGCUGUUCACUUGAAAAUAAAGUCUGUUGCAUCACAAGUGCUGGUUGGCAUCGCUGUCCUCCUAUCAGUGGAUUAAGAAAAGGCACAGCGAAAAACUAGUUUAAAAUCACCAGUCGGAUAUUUUACAGGUGCUUUCUAUUCAGAAGAGGAUAAAAUACCUUGGAGAGAAAAAAGAUGGAAGAGAGAAGAAUUUCAAUUUUGGAUUAUUAUUUUUAGCUGGACAAAUUGAGAGGAAAAAGUUCUCAAAUUUUAUGUGAAAGAAGAUUUAUGAGAUAUGAAUGAACUGCUGUCAUUAGAUACCGCCUUAUUAUACGCCAGCUGGUCAUCAGCAUGGAGGAGUUCAAUGUGAAGAGCGA
rnacentral:lncRNA from 1 species